CCCGUCUCCCUGGGAUUUUCCCGGUGGGAUUGAUUUUCCAUGAGGAAUGAUUUCCGUGUGGGAUGAUUCCCAGUGGGAUUUAUUUCCCCGUGGGAUGAUUGAUUGGUUGGUUUCCUGUGGGAUGAUUGAUUGAUUGAUUGAUUGGUUGGUUUCCUGUGGGAUGAUUGAUUGAUGGAUGGAUUGAUUGAUUUCCUGUGGGAUGAUUGAUUGAUUGAUUGAUUGAUUUCCUGUGGGAUGAUUGAUUGAUUGAUUGAUUGAUUGAUUUCGAUUGAUUGAUUGAUUGAUUUCCUGUGGGAUGAUUGAUUGAUUGAUUGAUUGAUUGAUUUCCUGUGGGAUGAUUGAUUGAUUCCCUGUGGGAUGAUUGAUUGAUUUCCUGUGGAAUGAUUGAUUUCCUGUGGGAUGAUUGAUUGAUUUCCUGUGGGAUGAUUGAUUGAUUGAUUUCCUGUGGGAUGAUUGAUUGAUUGAUUUCCUGUGGGAUGAUUGAUUUUCUGUGGGAUGAUUGAUUGAUUUCGUGUGGGAUGAUUGAUUGAUUUCCUGUGGGAUGAUUGAUGGAUUGAUGGAUUGAUUGAUUGAUUUCCUGUGGGAUGAUUGAUUGAUUGAUGGAUUGAUUGAUUAAUUGAUUUCCUGUGGGUUCCCAGGGCAGGAAGGUGCCGGGGGGGCCGCAGAUGCUGCAGCUGAGCCUGGACGGGCGGCGGCUCUACGUGAGCACCUCCCUGUACAGCGCCUGGGACCGGCUCUUCUACCCCGAGCUGCUCAGGUCAGGGCCCACAUCAGCAAGAAUUCAUCAUUAAUCAUUAUUAAUUAUUGUUAAUAAUUAUUAAUAAUUAUUAAUAAUUAUUAUUAAUUAUUAAUAAUUGAUUAUUAAUGAGUAGUUAAGUGGUCUCGGUGCCCCCAGGGAAGGCUCAGUGCUGCUGCAGCUGGACGUGGACACGGAGCGGGGCGGCCUGGCCGUCAAUCCCAAAUUCCUGGUGGAUUUCGGGAAGGAGCCGGGCGGGCCCUGCCUGGCGCACGAGAUGCGGUACCCGGGGGGGGACUGCACCUCCGACAUCUGGCUGUGAUCCCGGGAAUCCCGGGAAUCCUGCGGGAAUUCCGGGAAUGGGGAACGGCACCUCCGACAUCUGGCUGUGAUCCCGGGAAUCCCAGGAUUUAUUUGGGAAUUCUGGAUUUGGGAAUUCACGGACUCCAACGUCCGCCUCUGAUCCCAGGAAAUUGCCGAUUUCUCCCAUUUUUUCCACCUCCUUUUCCCUCCCCAUCACUUUUUCCCUGGAGCUUGAUGCCAAAAUUCCAAUUCUGGAGCUAAAAAAUCAUUUUCUGAUAUUUCUGAUCAAAAAUCCCAAUAAAAUUCUCCUUCCAGCAGCUGAAAUUCCA
rnacentral:lncRNA from 1 species